rnacentral:lncRNA from 1 species
UUUGUGUGUUUGUCUGUUUCCAGGAGAAGUUAUGUUGGGUGUUGGUGAUUGUUGUGUGUUUGUCUGUUUCCAGGAGAAGUUAUGUUGGGUGUUGGUGAUUGUUGUUGUGUUUGUCUGUUUCCAGGAGAAGUUAUGUUGGGUGUUGGUGAUUGUUGUGUGUUUGUCUGUUUCCAAGAAGUUAUGUUGGGUGUGGUGAUUGUUGUGUGUUUGUCUGUUUCCAGGAGAAGUUAUGUUGGGUGUUGGUGAUUGUUGUGUGUUUGUCUGUUUCCAGGAGUUAUGUUGGGUGUUGUUGGUUGUUGUUUGUG